CAGAGCUUAGCUAAGCACAGAUAUAGCAUCUCCCUUACACUGAGAAGUCACCCGUGCGAACCGGGUCGCUCUGA
rnacentral:tRNA from 1 species